GAUUAACGCUGGCGGCGUGCAUAACACAUGCAAGUCGAACGAUGAAACUUAAAUGAACUCUUCGGAGUGAUUUUAAGUGGAUUAGUGGCGGACGGGUGAGUAACGCGUGAGUAACCUGCCUUAGAGAAGGGGAUAGCCUUUGGAAACGAAGAAUAAUACCCUAUAACACCAACACCUCGCAUGAAGAGUUGGUCAAAGAUUUAUCGCUCUAAGAUGGACUUGCGUCUGAUUAGUUAGUUGGUGAGGUAACGGCCCACCAAGACAGCGAUCAGUAGCCGGCUUGAGAGAGUGUACGGCCACAUUGGGACUGAGACACGGCCCAGACUCCUACGGGAGGCAGCAGUGGGGAAUUUUGCACAAUGGGGGAAACCCUGAUGCAGCGACGCCGCGUGAUUUAGAAGGCCUUCGGGUUGUAAAAAUCUUUUCUAUGGGAAG
rnacentral:rRNA from 1 species